AUUGAACGCUAGCGGGAUGCUUUACACAUGCAAGUCGAACGGCAGCGCGGACUUCGGUCUGGCGGCGAGUGGCGAACGGGUGAGUAAUGUAUCGGAACGUGCCCAGUAGCGGGGGAUAACUACGCGAAAGCGUAGCUAAUACCGCAUACGCCCUACGGGUGAAAGCAGGGGAUCGUAAGACAUUGCACUAUUGGAUCGGCCGAUAUCGGAUUAGCUAGUUGGUGAGGUAACGGCUCACCAAGGCGACGAUCCGUAGCUGGUUUGAGAGGACGACCAGCCACACUGGGACUGAGACACGGCCCAGACUCCUACGGGAGGCAGCAGUGGGGAAUUUUGGACAAUGGGGGCAACCCUGAUCCAGCCAUCCCGCGUGUGCGAUGAAGGCCUUCGGGUUGUAAAGCACUUUUGGCAGGAAAGAAACGUCGCGGGCUAAUACCCCGUGGAACUGACGGUACCUGCAGAAUAAGCACCGGCGAACUACGU
rnacentral:rRNA from 1 species